rnacentral:rRNA from 1 species
UACGUAGGGGGCAAGCGUUAUCCGGAUUUACUGGGUGUAAAGGGAGCGCAGACGGCAGUGCAAGUCUGGAGUGAAAGCCCGGGGCCCAACCCCGGAACUGCUCUGGAAACUGUGCGGCUAGAGUACUGGAGGGGCAGGCGGAAUUCCUAGUGUAGCGGUGAAAUGCGUAGAUAUUAGGAGGAACACCAGUGGCGAAGGCAGCUUACCAAACUAUAUCUGACGUUGAGGCACGAAAGCGUGGGUAGCAAACAGG